rnacentral:lncRNA from 1 species
CCUCCUCUCGGCUACGGGCGCCUCCAUGGGGCGGACCCCCGAAGCGGGAGCCCCAGUCGGUGGACUCCUCGAAAAGGCCCGGGGGGCCGUAGGUUCGGCGUCCGAGGGAAUGUCGAUCGCCGGAGCGCCUGGACGGGCGUGGCCAAGCUCGACUCCUCCGCCCUGGCCCUUUUAGCCGAUCCGACGGUCGCGGCACCCUUUCUUUUGUGGGCCUUG